rnacentral:rRNA from 1 species
UACGUAGGGACCAAGCGUUGUUCGGAUUUACUGGGCGUAAAGGGCUCGUAGGCGGCCUAGCAAGUCACUUGUGAAAUCUCCGGGCUUAACUCGGAACUGCCAAGUGAAACUGCUGGGCUAGAGUGCAGAAGGGGCAAUCGGAAUUCUUGGUGUAGCGGUGAAAUGCGUAGAUAUCAAGAGGAACACCUGAGGUGAAGACGGGUUGCUGGGCUGACACUGACGCUGAUGCGCGAAAGCAAGGGGAGCAAACGGG